CAUUAAAAGUUACCAAAUGGGCAGGCUGUAAAUAUUUAGUUUCUCUCUCCUCCAAAACGCUCCCGGAAACGCUCUCAAUUUCGAAACAAAUUGUGGGUGGUAACACUGCUCAUAAACCCGGUGAAGCUACCAAAUUAUGAGUGGUAACUCAAACUUUGCUAAUGUCAGGUCGCGGUCGAGGUGGAGGAUAUAGAGGUGGAAGGCCGCCGAGUCGAGGCUGCUUAGGUGGUCGAGGGUUGCCGGAAGAAAGGCAGGUUUCUGAGCUUGAUGCUGCUGCAGUUUAGAUGCAAAUUGUGGUGGUGGUGUUGUUGAGGGGUUAUGGACAAGUUGGAUGUCAAGAGUUCAAGACUACACUGCAGCAGGAAGAAAGGAGCUGCCACUAGCACAUAUUGUGGCUUGAUUGUAAUCCUAGUUUUAAGCCAUUGUAAAAAAACAAAUUUGGAAUGAUAUUGUAAAAUUACAACUAUUUAUUAAUAAUAAUCCUAUUUUUUAUAAGGAUCUUG